AUUGCUGGUUCAUUUUGCAUG
rnacentral:misc_RNA from 1 species